rnacentral:misc_RNA from 1 species
ACCCGACUUGAACGGAAAUCCUUUUUUGUGGCUGGAAAAGCCAAGGCAAAAAGAUUGGGAGUGGAAGGCGGAUAAGUUG